GGUCAGCAGCGGCAUUAGCGUCUCAUAGGAGCAUGAACCCUACUGUGAACUGCGCAUGCGAGGGAUCUAGGCUGCGCGCUCCUUAUGAGAAUCUAACGCCUGAUGACCUAUCACUGUCUCCCAUCACUCCCAGAUGGGACCGUCUAGUUGCAGGAAAACAAGCUCAGGGCUCCCACUGAUUCUACAUUAUGGAAAUUUCAUGAUCCGACUGGAAUCCAGGAAAAUCACAGCUGAAAUACAAAACAUCAGCCCUUAUCUCCAGCACUGUACAUGGCAGAAACUGCUUUUAUUCUAGAUGUCUAGAUCCAGAUCAACUGCAUGGGGUCCUACAGGAGAAGACCAAGAGACAGAGACAGAGACCAGGGAAAAUGACCGAUACCAUUCCUUCUCAGGGAUGCUACACACCCAUGGGGCAGAGGAUAAGAGGUUCCUGAAGGCAUCACCCCUCUGGCCAUGGCUGGUGUGCAGACAAAGCUGGAGAUUUGGAGUAGCCUGUUGUCCCACUGACUCUUAGACUGCCCCAGCUAAGAAGAACCAACUCCUCCUAUUACAGAUGAAAUAAACAAAGCUACUCAAGCUCUCUGGCAUCGCCCUGACGGUCAUCAUGUGCUUCACAUUUCCCUCCUGCCCCCCCUGAUUUUCUGGAAAAGGGAGAAAGUGUGUGAAAAAAAAUGGACAAUAACUUCUGUUAACUUUGUAGAUGUCUGGUUCCUCCAUAUGAGGCUGUGCUUGAAUCAAUUUUGGAGAGAGGGUUUCUAAAGUCUCUCUAGAUUCUAUUAAUUUUGAUAGAGACAAUAAAAGGCAGCAGGACCAACUCUGUGUGGUGGGAGAUCUAGCAACCAUUAUAGUCACAAUAGCCACCACUUACUGAACACCCACCAUGUGACAAAGAACAAAUGUGCAUGAAUUAUGUCACAUUUUUCACAAGCACCCCUUGAGUUGGGAGUUCACUCAUGAGGCAACUGAGGUUCAGGGAGAUGAAGUAACUCACCCUGUAGGUAGGAGGGCUGAGAUCUGGACGUAGAUCUUUCCUCCAAAGCUUUGUCUUUUUUUUUCUACUAUAGCACACCAAAGAGAGUUCUAGAAAAAAUGAGAAUAAGAAAUUUACCUGUAAUCCUUGCUCAAGAAACUGAAGCUCUGAGGCCACAUUGUUCCAGCCUUUUGCAGCUCCUGCAUGUGGAUACCAGCACCAGCAGCUCCCCGACCAGGGGCCCCAGCUAAGCCCUCCCAGAGGAUGAUCUUGGCUUUGUACAUGGGGUGUCAAUAUCCUGUGAGUCCAACAGAGGGAAGACAUAAGAAUAUGGUCACCCAGGUAACAGACAUUUGUCUUAAUGUAUUCACUGUGUCAUCAGAAGCCACUUCUUAUCCAUCCUUGUGAAUACUUGAUGAAUGAGGAGUCAAUGAUUAAAUGAAGGAAAGAAAAGAGACUGAAAAGGAGGUUUUGUACAGAGGAAAUCCAGGCUCCUAACGAUGGCGAAAGAUGGGAAUAAAAGGAUCAGAACACUGAGCUGGAUCUUCAGUUCAUUUCAGGUAUGGAGAAGGGUAAAUGGUCUUUAAAGAAGGCCGACCUCAAUGAAGGUGUCUUCCAAGGCCUUGUCCACUCAAGGACAUGUUGCAUGCCUGAAACUGAGUAUACAGGAAAAGGAUAGAAAUGGAAUAAAAUGGAAACCCAUAAAUCACACUACCCUGCUAUGCAGUUUCAAACCACUGACUUAAUGAAAUGUUGAUCCACUUUGCCAUGGAUGCCCCACUUUUUAACUCCUUCUUCAGAGUCCCAGGAGGUGAGGCUCUUCUGUUUAACUGAUUUGCAGAAUUUUUGCUUCUGCUAUUACAAUGGCUUCCAUAGUUGAGUACCAAAGACACUUUACUAUGGUGCCACAGAGAUCAUUUUGCAGAUGAGGAAACAGACUGUUCUACUACCCAGGCUUUGGUUUUUUCUACUCAGUCUUGCACAAUCUCUCACUCUCAGCCCAGAACAUUGCUGCAUUUUUGUGAGCCAUCAGCAUCCAAAGUGAACACAGGGUCUAAAUAACUGAAGAUGGCAUGAGGGAACACACAAUCAGGUCUUUAAAAAAAGAAGAAAGUGAAUAGGCAAACUGAACAGGACAUCUAGGACUGAAAAGCCUCUGUGAACAACUGGACUCAAUAUGAAAUUGGCGUGAGCUCACAGAAGACCAGCUGAGUUCCAGAUGUGGUUGGGUAGCUUGGGUUAUGGGCCCGUAUAAAAAAAAUGGUCUCUUCUUGUAAAAGGAAUUCAAAAAAAGACUAAAAGUCACCCCAAAGAGUCACUGUCUUUGUCUUUUGGCCAUUAGUAAGUCAGAAGAGACCUCUAGAGGAGACUGGAUUUUGUGGCUGAUUAUCGAUUAAUUGAUCAUCACUGGGUAUCUUUGGGAGUGUUGCCUUCUCAGGGAGAAGCUGAAAAUCAUUCUGUGAAAGGUAUGUCCACUGACAAUCAUUUAAGCUCUUUGGAGGCAAGAAAUCAGGUAUCUGGGAGAACUCAGAGAUAACAUAGGAGCGACAGGCUGAAACCAUGAGCGAGAUGGGCAGAUGGCUUGAGAAUGACGAUGGGCAGAGGAGAGCAGUGGCAGGGAGAACCCACAGGCCUCUACUUGGAGUCAGCCUGUCAGCAGGAUAAGCUACAAGAUCACCCUCGAGGGAAACUGCAGGCCAGGUCAGGGGCACUGCAAGCUGCAGGUGUGCCCAGGCAGGAGGGCAGGUGGCCUGUGAUGAGGGGCCAUGACUGUGUGGUGGGCUCUCCCACACCAGGAGCAACUAGACACUAGACUGAAAGUUCUUUUAAGUGAGGGAGCCAUCUUCUGUCCAGGGAAAAGUGGUUCGGGAUACAGGAGGAGCCCUGCACCACAGAAUCGGUCUAGUCUCAGGCUGUCUGUUCCACAGGAGCCUCCAGCCCAGUGAUGUAGGCAGCUAUUCACAACCACAUCAUGGCACAAAGUGAGGCCUCCCAAUCCACAGCCAUCCCUGAUUACAGACACUUCACUGGAUGUCUGAACAUAGCUGUGUGUGCCUGGAAAGCCUAGAAAUAGAAACGCUCCUUUUUUCCCCAAGACGAUCAUCUCUACAUCCUGACCUGGAUCAACAGUGAUCCAUUCUGGACAAUCCUGGACACUCCUGCUCCUGGAGAGAAGGGAUAGAUAACUUUUCCACCUGCCUGCCUGUCCUGUCCACCUCGAGGUGGUCUUGUGGCAUCUUGGGCCUCACAUGUCCCAUAGUCUCUUCUCAUCCCUCCAAUUUGCUCCUUCUCCAGACUUCUCUCUCUUGGUUGAGUGGUUCCACCAUUUUCCCAAGUUGCUUGGACCCAACACUUGAGUUACAGCCAACUCCUCUCUUUCUCUCACAACCCAAAUCUAAUUCAUCAGUAAGUCCUGGUGGCUCCACAUUCGGAAUGUUCCUGGGAUGCCACCACUUUUUGUCAUCUCUGUUACUGCUAGCCUGCCCCUUGCUACUGUCAGCUCCAGCCUGGAGGACUGAAAUAACCUCCUCACUGUCUCCAGCUGUUCUUCCCGCCCAUGGUCUAUUCCCCAGACACCACCAGAGGGAUGCUUUGAAGUCCAGAUGGCAUCAUGUCAUUUAGAAUGAAACCUGAGGUCCCAAGUGUGGCCCGAGGGAUGGUCAGGUUGCCCCCAGGGCUCCAUUUCCUGCCACUCUUCCUCUCUCUCACUCUGCUGGAGCCACAUGGUUACUAUUCCUGAACACAGGAGGCUCCCUCCUGCUUCAGGUCUCGUGCAGAUUUGUUCCCACAGCCUGGGGACAGAUUUUAUCCCAGAAGUUCCCAGGGCUUGAUUCCUCCCUUUAUUUAGUUCUCAGCUGAAAUGUCCCCUCUUCUGAGCAGCCUUCUCUCACCACCCGAUGGAAGCAGCCGUCCCUGCACGCUCUAUCACUUCACUCGGCUCUAUUUUUCUUCCUAACACGUUCACAACUUGACAUUCUUUUAUAAUUUUUCACUUAUUUAUUGAGUGCUGUCUCUUCCACUAGAACCCCUGAAAGCAGGGAUUUUUAUAAUCUUUUGGCCACCACUAGAUUCAUAAGGAUGCACAGAGCCUGGUAGGCUGCAGGCUGUCCAUAACUGCUUGUUGAAUGAAUCGAUGGAUGAAUGAUCAGCAGAAGCUCGUUUCUCUCCAUGAAAUACAACGGGUUCCAAAGAAAUCGAAGCCUUUUUGAAAGGCCUAGCCAUACUUCACCCAUACAGCUGCAGUGGCAGAUCCAUGCUCAUGACCUCAUUUCUCUCC
rnacentral:lncRNA from 1 species